rnacentral:misc_RNA from 1 species
CCUCCUUUCUAAGAGAAAGAUAAAUUAAGGCUAAUUCCAUUAACUCUUCCCUACUCUUUUCUUUUGACAAGAGAGUUUUUAAAACCAGUGUUAUUUCUGUAGGUUUAAGAGAAGUUUAUAUAUUAAKUUUUUUAUUGUUGAUAUUAAAGAGUUUUAUUAAACUUAGACUUAAGUUUAGAUCAUUUGGGGGUUUAGCUCAGUUGGGUAGAGCAUYGGCUUUGCCAGCCGAGGGUCAAGGGUUCGAGUCCCUUACCYCCCUGGGGGCUUAUGCCUUAAAUUGUGAUUAAAUAUGUUUUCGGGCUGCUUGCUUUAUAAAAGUAAGUAUUGGKAUGWGAAACAGCGGCAAUUAGAAUUUUUGGGUUAAAGUUGAGAUCUAUUGAUAUWAARAAGAAUCUCUAGAGGUGAAAGCAMGCUUCMGAUAAAAACGGGGCUUGUUUCUCUAAAGUACAAGAAUUAAACAGGAUUGUACUUUUCCGCASUCUAUUUUAUAAACGAUUCACAUUUAUUGCUAUCUUUUGUWUARGAAGUGAWGAGGAUCGCCAGGUGAGAUGCGWGAGGAAAAGGUCUUAUAAUGAGWUGCAACCUCUGUUAUCGUUGCCAMUAGUAAUUGUGGAUGUUAGUAUAAAACUGUCRKUUAUGAAUCGGAGAAAGACGAAGAUUGUGUUAAAUUGUCAUAAGAUCCUUMUAUCCUAGUUUACUUACAAGGUUGCUMCAAUAGUCUAAAAAAGCUAAUCAAAAUGCCAUAACCAGAUUUCAGUUCGGAUUUGCCCUGCACUCAACGCCAUGAAGUUGGAAUCGCUAAUAAUCGUAUAUUUCUUAAUAUAGAAAUUGAAUAAAAUUUUGUUGUUUUUAUUAAUUAAAGCUUAAAGCUAGUGAUUGCCAUACUUAAAACGAUAGAAUAC